GAGGGGAAGGACAUGGCCCAGCUUGUGGGAAGGAUCCUGCUGGCUGUGUCUGGAGCACUGUGCAGCCUCUUCUGUGGGAAGUUCCCAUGGGUCAGUGUGGCCUGAAUCUCUCCUGCUCCUUUGUUCUCUUUGGGCUUCACAGGAGAUGUCUGGUGAACUGCCUGUGGACUCUGUGCCCCGCACCGCUCCGAAAUUAUUCGCUACCUUGAAAGAAACAGGGCACAGCUCAGCCUGUCUCUGGCCCAGCCUCUUCCACAGACGUAUGCUGCAGCCAGCCCAGCUCAGAGAGCAGUGGGGACACAUGAUCUCAUCCUGUCAAACCAAGCAACAUGGGUCCCAUUGAGGCUUAGAUGGAAGAUCCCAGGUAUCUCGUGGAGAGGACGUGUCUGGGAUCCUGGAGACUGUUUCCUGCUGGAGGUUUGAGCGGGGAGAGAUCACUCAGAAGAUCACUCGGGUCUGCAGGGUUCAUGGGAGCAGCCACACUCCAGCAGGCCAUCUGG